rnacentral:rRNA from 1 species
GGGGGGUGCAAGCGUUGUUCGGAUUUAUUGGGCGUAAAGCGCGUGUAGGCGGUCUUAUAAGUCUGAUGUGAAAGCCCUGGGCUCAACCCAGGAAGUGCAUUGGAUACUGUAAGACUUGAAUACGGGAGAGGGCAGUGGAAUUCCUAGUGUAGGAGUGAAAUCCGUAGAUAUUAGGAGGAACACCGGUGGCGAAGGCGGCUGCCUGGACCGAUAUUGACGCUGAGACGCGAAAGCGUGGGUAGCAAACAGGAUUAGAUACCCUGGUAGUCCACGCGGUAAACGAUGGCCACUGGGUGUUGGGGAAGCGAUUCCUUGGUACCGCAGCUAACGCGUGAAGUGGCCCGCCUGGGGAGUACGGCCGCAAGGUUA